rnacentral:rRNA from 1 species
AGGGGGCUAGCGUUGUUCGGAAUUACUGGGCGUAAAGCGCGCGCAGGCGGUUCUUCAAGUCAGUGGUGAAAGCCCGGAGCUCAACUCCGGAACUGCCAUUGAAACUGUGGAACUUGAGGAUGAGAGAGGUGAGUGGAAUUCCCAGUGUAGAGGUGAAAUUCGUAGAUAUUGGGAAGAACACCGGUGGCGAAGGCGGCUCACUGGCUCAUUUCUGACGCUCAGGCGCGACAGCGUGGGGAUCAAACAGG